AUUGAGAGUUUGAUCCUGGCUCAGGAUGAAUGCUAGCGGCAGGCUUAAUACAUGCAAGUCGGACGGCAGCACGGGUAGCAAUACCUGGUGGCGAGUGGCGCACGGGUGCGUAACGCGUAUGCAACCUACCCUUAACUGAGACAUAACCUGGCGAAAGCUGGGCUAAUAUCUCAUGAGGUUAUAGAGGGGCAUCCUGAUAUAAUCAAAGCAGCGAUGUGGUUAAGGAUGGGCAUGCGUCCCAUUAGCUAGUUGGCGAGGUAACGGCUCACCAAGGCGACGAUGGGUAGGGGUUCUGAGAGGAAGGUCCCCCACACUGGUACUGAGACACGGACCAGACUCCUACGGGAGGCAGCAGUAAGGAAUAUUGGGCAAUGGUCGGAAGACUGACCCAGCCAUGCCGCGUGCAGGAAGAAGGCCCUAUGGGUUGUAAACUGCUUUAGCCAGGGGCUAAACCUACCGAUGCGUUGGUAGCUGAAGGUACCUGGAGAAUAAGCAUCGGCUAACUCCGUGCCAGCAGCCGCGGUAAUACGGAGGAUGCGAGCGUUAUCCGGAUUUACUGGGUUUAAAGGGUGCGCAGGCGGUUGUUUAAGUCAGGGGUGAAAGCCCUAUGCUCAACAUAGGGAUUGCCUUUGAUACUGAACGGCUAGAGUGAAGAUGGAGUGGGUGGAAUGUGUUGUGGUAGCGGUGAAAUGCAUAGAUAUAACACAGAACACCGAUCGCGAAGGCAGCUCACUAAUUUUCAACUGACGCUCAUGCACGAAAGCGUGGGGAUCAAACAGGAUUAGAUACCCUGGUAGUCCACGCUGUAAACGAUGAUCACUAGCUGUUGGUACGCUGAAGUAUCAGUGGCUAAGCGAAAGUGAUAAGUGAUCCACCUGGGAAGUACGACCGCAAGGUUGAAACUCAAAGGAAUUGACGGGGGCCCGCACAAGCGGAGGAGCAUGUGGUUUAAUUCGAUGAUACGCGAGGAACCUUACCAGGGCUCGAACGCAGGGGGGAUAUACCUGAAAGGGUAUAGCCGGCGAUGGUCCCCUGCAAGGUGCUUCAUGGUUGUCCUCACCUCCUGCCGUGAGGUGUCAG
rnacentral:rRNA from 1 species